AAGGGGGGUAGAGGUGUUGGAGGCAGACUGAGGCGACGGCAGGCGGACGUCAUGGGCGUCCUGUGGGCUUAGUGGGCGUGCUGCGUGGGCUUAGUAGGCGUGCUUUGUGGGCGUUUGAUGGCAUGCAUGGCUUGUCCGUGCUACGUCGUCGGGCGCCUAUAAAAACAUGUCGACGACCGCCUACAAAAACAUGUCGACGACCGCUCGUGGGGCGACCAUGUGCCGCCGAGGGCAUUUUUCUCGACCGGGCUAGACGCGUUUGGUGUGGAACGGAAGUGCUUGUUUUCGGGCGAGUGGCAAGUUUGAUGGCAUGCAUGGCUCGUCCGUGCUACGUCGUCGGAGGCGCUGCACGCACGGGGCUCGCACGGCCAAGUACUGCCAGACGCUAUAGCUGGACCGGGCGUGGGCGGUGCUCGUGCAAGAACUUUAGUCUGCCUCCAACACCUUUACCAGUGAUUAAAUUCACAACCCCCUUGGGCGGCGCGCAACGGCGGGGAUAGCAUUGGCCUUGCAACGAAGGCAUCGGCGUCGGCGCACGACAUCUCAUGUCGGGCGUCGGGGUGGGUGUUGGGCGUGCAUUUUCGAAGCUAUUCACGUACGGCGCAUGAGUGGUAAUCGGCUUGCGUGGUUAGGUUGGAUCCCUGCUUCGAGCAGCGACGUCCUAACCCGCAUGCCAUGUCGGUGGCGGAUCAAGCGCAAUCUAGGCUUGUCGGACGUCGGUAUCCUGUGCUGCAUACCUAAUGCCUAGGCAUUACUCACGUGCAAUCGGUCGCCUUUCGCCCCUCGCAUUCCAUGUGCGGGGUGAACCCAAAAGCCGCUCUUGCGUCCCACGCCUUCCUCGCUUCGUCGUGCGAUGGCGUGGUCCGCGAGCGGCGGCUGGAAUUCUCGGAUUCGGUAGACGCAGUGGGCAUGGGGCCUUCACCGGCUCCUAUCUGCCCAAAACGAAUGCUCCUUGCGAACGACGGCCGCGCUCGCCUUGAACCCGUCCGUGCCCUUACGGGCGCGGCGGGCUCAUGCGGCGCGCGGCGUCGCUGAGGAAUGC
rnacentral:misc_RNA from 1 species